rnacentral:rRNA from 1 species
CUUGACGACAAUAGAGCUGUGGAACCACCUGAAUCCAUCCCGAACUCAGAAGUGAAACGCAGCAUCGCCGAUGGUAGUGUGGGG